rnacentral:rRNA from 1 species
AUGGUGAACAACAAAGCUUUUGACAUUUUCAACUCCAUCAUCAAUACUCUAGCCCUUCGGGAGAUCCAUAUUAGUGGGGGUAAAUAUACCUGGACCAACAAUCAGGCUCACCCCACUCUAGAAAAGCUAGAUCGUAUCCUGAUGUCUGAAAGUUGGGAAGAUGCUUUCCCAAUGGUCUCUGUAAGGAAAUUAGUUCGUGAAAUCUCUGACCAUAAUCCCUUGUUGCUCUCCUCUGGGGAAGAAGGGCGUGAUGCACCUAAACCUCGAGGGUUUCGUUUUGAUCUUUCCUGGAUAAAAUAUGACAACUUCUUGCCCACUGUUGCGAGAAUCUGGGCAAGAAAAGUCGCAUCGUCUGACCCAAUAGAUGUCUUAAAUAUCAAGUUGAAGAGAUUUAUGACCUGCUUUAAAGGGCGGGGUUCGGACAGGUAUGGGCACGAUAAGAAAAGAAAAGAGGAGUUACGCAUGGAAUUGUCCAUACUGGAGGAACUAGAAGAGGAGGAUACGUUGCCCCUCGGAAAGUUGAUAUUAGUGCUGAGCUUUAUGAGAUCUUGGUGA